CGUUUUAAAAACAUAAGUAUAAUAUCAUUACCACAUCUCACAAAAUGGACAAUAAUUCCUCAACAUCGUCUAACACUCAUACCAUUUUAAAUUUCCUAAGUUAUCUUAAAAAUGUUGGUUUGGUUUCAAUCAGCCUCCAAAAAGGUCUUCAUAAAGCAUUUGGUUGGGGUGUAUUUUGAGUAUUUCCUGAUUUGGUGACUAUGUAAGUUAACUUUAGCUAUUAAAGCACUACCAGGCUCAACGGUGUACAUCAAGCUUGUCCAACCCAUCGCCAAAGGGACCACAUGUGGCCCAGCAUGGCUUUGAAUGUAGCCCAAUACAAAUUUGUAAACUUUCUUAAAACAUUAUGAGUUUUUUCUUUUUGCAAUUUUUUUCUUUUAAGCUCAUCAGCUAUCCUUGGUGUAUUUUAUGUGUGGCCCAAAACAAUUCUUCUUCCCGUGUGGUCCAGGGAAGUCAAAAGACUGGAUACCCCUGUUUUACAACAAGGAUCUUGCUCUGUC